rnacentral:rRNA from 1 species
UACGUAGGGACCAAGCGUUAUUCGGAUUUACUGGGCGUAAAGGGCGCGUAGGCGGCGCGGUAAGUCACUUGUGAAAUCUCUGAGCUUAACUCAGAACGGCCAAGUGAUACUGCAGUGCUAGAGUGUGGAAGGGGCAAUCGGAAUUCUUGGUGUAGCGGUGAAAUGCGUAGAUAUCAAGAGGAACACCUGAGGUGAAGACGGGUUGCUGGGCCAACACUGACGCUGAUGCGCGAAAGCCAGGGGAGCAAACGGG